rnacentral:rRNA from 1 species
UUAAGUUGGGGACGUCUAGCCGAGACUGCCAGUGAGUAAACUAGGAGGAAGGUGGGGAGUGACGUCAAAUCAUCAUGCCCCUUAUGACCUGGGCUACAAACGUGAUACAAUGGCUGGAACAAAGGGAUGCGAAGCAGUGAUGUGGAGCGAAACCCAUAAAAACAGUCUCAGUUCGGAUUGAAGUCUGCAACUCGACUUCAUGAAGUCGGAAUCGCUAGUAAUCGCGGAUCAGAACGCCGCGGUGAAUACGUUCUCGGGGUUU